rnacentral:rRNA from 1 species
UACAGAGGGGGCAAGCGUUGUUCGGAAUUACUGGGCGUAAAGGGCGCGUAGGCGGCCUUCUAAGUCGAACGUGAAAUCCCUGGGCUCAACCCGGGAACUGCGUCCGAUACUGGAAGGCUUGAAUCCGGGAGAGGGAUGCGGAAUUCCAGGUGUAGCGGUGAAAUGCGUAGAUAUCUGGAGGAACACCGGUGGCGAAGGCGGCAUCCUGGACCGACACUGACGCUGAGGAGCGAAAGCCAGGGGAGCAAACGGG